rnacentral:rRNA from 1 species
GACGAACGCUGUCGGCGUGCUUAACACAUGCAAGUCGAACGGAAAGGCCCUGCUUUUGUGGGGUGCUCGAGUGGCGAACGGGUGAGUAACACGUGAGUAACCUGCCCUUGACUUUGGGAUAACUUCAGGAAACUGGGGCUAAUACCGGAUAGGAGCUCCUGCUGCAUGGUGGGGGUUGGAAAGUUUCGGCGGUUGGGGAUGGACUCGCGGCUUAUCAGCUUGUUGGUGGGGUAGUGGCUUACCAAGGCUUUGACGGGUAGCCGGCCUGAGAGGGUGACCGGCCACAUUGGGACUGAGAUACGGCCCAGACUCCUACGGGAGGCAGCAGUGGGGAAUAUUGCACAAUGGGCGGAAGCCUGAUGCAGCAACGCCGCGUGCGGGAUGACGGCCUUCGGGUUGUAAACCGCUUUCGCCUGUGACGAAGCGUGAGUGACGGUAAUGGGUAAAGAAGCACCGGCUAACUACGUGCCAGCAGCCGCGGUGAUACGUAGGGUGCGAGCGUUGUCCGGAUUUAUUGGGCGUAAAGGGCUCGUAGGUGGUUGAUCGCGUCGGAAGUGUAAUCUUGGGGCUUAACCCUGAGCGUGCUUUCGAUACGGGUUGACUUGAGGAAGGUAGGGGAGAAUGGAAUUCCUGGUGGAGCGGUGGAAUGCGCAGAUAUCAGGAGGAACACCAGUGGCGAAGGCGGUUCUCUGGGCCUUUCCUGACGCUGAGGAGCGAAAGCGUGGGGAGCGAACAGGCUUAGAUACCCUGGUAGUCCACGCUGUAAACGGUGGGUACUAGGUGUGGGGUCCAUUCCACGGGUUCCGUGCCGUAGCUAACGCUUUAAGUACCCCGCCUGGGGAGUACGGCCGCAAGGCUAAAACUCAAAGGAAUUGACGGGGCCCCGCACAAGCGGCGGAGCAUGCGGAUUAAUUCGAUGCAACGCGUAGAACCUUACCUGGGUUUGACAUGGAUCGGGAGUGCUCAGAGAUGGGUGUGCCUCUUUUGGGGUCGGUUCACAGGUGGUGCAUGGCUGUCGUCAGCCCGUGUCGUGAGAUGUUGGGUUAAGUCCCGCAACGAGCGCAACCCUUGUUCACUGUUGCCAGCACGUUAUGGUGGGGACUCAGUGGAGACCGCCGGGGUCAACUCGGAGGAAGGUGGGGAUGACGUCAAGUCAUCAUGCCCCUUAUGUCCAGGGCUUCACGCAUGCUACAAUGGCUGGUACAGAGAGUGGCGAGCCUGUGAGGGUGAGCGAAUCUCGGAAAGCCGGUCUCAGUUCGGAUUGGAGUCUGCAACUCGACCUCAUGAAGUCGGAGUCGCUAGUAAUCGCAGAUCAGCAACGCUGCGGUGAAUACGUUCCCGGGGCU